ACAAUUUGGCACCUACUUACAGUCCACGUUUCACCGUAUCAAAAUACUUGGGUGACGAAAUUAAUAAUCUUGCUAGCACUUCACUUCCUUCAACAUGUCCUUCUGCUGAUGUUCUUCAUGAAGAAACUAGCGAGUUUUUAGCUCGGAUCAAUGAUGAUGAAUGGGACAUGAUACACGAGUAAUUAUGGGGACCACGUAUUUUGUCGACAGAAUCUAAAACGUCGACGUCAUCGGCGAUUGUUGAUAUGGAACAUGAGGUUGAUUAUGACAUUUCUCAGUCUGCCCAACAAACCAUCCCAAAAAUACACCAAAUUUGUCAGAUGGGGACCAGACAACUCAGCAAGAAGAAAAUACGUCAUCGGUGGUUGAUAAUGUGGAACAUGAGGUCGACACUGGCAUUUCUAAAUGUUCCCGGGUAGAUGAUGCUAGAUGUACACCAAAUUCAUCAGAUGUCCACAAUGCAACAAGUCAGGAAGAAUUGGUGGUUGUUGAUGUGAACCAUCAGGAUGCCUCAGUAGACCAUGCCAAAAAUAC